rnacentral:lncRNA from 1 species
CAGGAUGAUCGUCUGAUAGCAGAUCCAUCAGAUCCUCAGAAACUGAUUGCUCCUGUGGUUUCUGUCUCUUCUGAUCGUCUCGUCACGUCUCACUGUGUGAAUCAACUCCGUCACGAGAUCCGCUGCGAUGCUUCUGGAGUAAAUGUUUUUCUCUAUUCUCAUAUUUAAUCUUUCAUCAACACUAUUAAUGAUGCUCUUUCAUUCAUCUCAGUUCAGACUGGACACCAUCUUCAGAGGUGAGAGAAACACUUCAGUAAACUCUGUGUUGAACUGAAUCUAGUGUGAAUCUUCAAGUGAAUCAUGAUGAUUGUGAAUCUGUUUUUCAGUGAGGAAUGAAACUGCAGUGACUCCAAACUCAGGUGAGUUUCAGCUGAUAAACGUCUGAUUAUUCACAGAUCUGAUUCACACUCACUCUUUUCUCUCAUAUUGACUCAUAUUUAUCAUCACUGUGUGUUUGUAAAGAUGAUCUGAAUGAAGUGACUCUCCAUCGUUCAGGUAAACUCCUGUGCUUCUGUGUUUCAGUAUUGAUCAUUUUUAUUGAUCAGAUGUGUAUGUAUUCAGUCGUUCAGCUGAAUGUGUUGUCUCUCUUGUGUUCAGAUCAGUGGUGGUGGAUUUCUGUCCUUAUUCUCAUUGUUCUUCUGGUUUUGAUCUGUUUCUUGCUGCGGAGAAGGAUCUUCAGGUGUUUUCAAAGGGAAGCACAGGUUAUCCGUCAGCGUGAACCUCCUGACAACAGGGAUCUGGUGAUGAUCUGAUCAUCCAGGAAUCAGUUCAGUGAAUCGGUUCAGUGUCCAGGGGAUGAGCACCAUCUGAUUUUCUUUUUUUCUUUUUUUUUUGACAUGCAAAGGUGAUAAUCCCACCAGUCAACAUAAUGACCAUGUUUUAGAGCAUUUUUCU